GGCGAUGUAGCCAGGCCAGGCAAGGGAGCGGAGCGUGACGAGGUUCGCGGAUGGGUCCUGGCGAACGGCCCAGCAUCCCUUGGGCAAAUCAUCCUCCAGAGGGUCAG
rnacentral:rRNA from 15 species